CUUGGUACGGUUCGGUUCCUAUUGCACGUAGAUCUUCAACAUAAAGGAAAAUAAGUUAAUUUCUAACAUCAAUAUAAAUUAUGAGAAAAUGCUUUCCUGAUUGUAUUGGCUGUAAAGAGCUGCAAAUGGUAAAUAUUGUUUCUUAGUCAUUAUGCAAUAUGCUGCUAAAAUCAUCAGGAGUAUGAAUCACCUUUUUAAAAUCAUAUUUAGUACGGAUGUUGCAAUACAUGUGGUUAUUUCCAGUAUCUGUCAGCUCCUUUACACAAUUCUCAUUGUCCAUAUGAGAUCUGUUUUGGGAUAGCCCAUUCUCUAAAACCUCCUUUCAGUAUACCAUCAGCCCAGUUUGAAUAUGAUAGAAAGUCUUGUCAAGGCUUUUCUCUUCCUGUAAAUUUUGCCAACUGAUUCUAAGUGGGUGAUGCCUGUGUUCCCAUCCGCCUUGUUCUAUUGUAAAAGACAGCUAUGUCUCUAAUAUGUUUAUUGACCGCUUUAUAUGAAGUCAAAAAAUUGGCUGAAUGAUUUCAGUUUAGGAAAAGGUUUGUUUUCUCUCCGUAUAAAAAAUCUGAAAUGAAGCUGACAUUUACAAACGUUUUGUCCAUCAAUCAUGGUUGUCUGUUUGAUA